CUGCUGAUGACUAUAUAAAGGACUCUACCUUUUGAGUGUUUCCCUAACAAAUAAAGCAAAAAUGGGCUUAAAGAGAUGUGUAUUGGUAUGGGUUUUUUGUGUUGUUAUUGCUUUAACUUUCCCUUUUAAUGGAAGAUCAAGAGAAUUAUGGGAUACUUCUAGGAAAGCAGAGGCUCCUCAAACACAGUUUUUUGCAACACGGACUCUCCAUCAAACAGGUUCUUAUCCUUGGGCAGACGGUCCGAACCACUAUAUGACCAGCGGAGGCCUGACAGUCCGACCACCGAUGGCUAAUGGCUUAGAGUGAUGAAGCAAAUAAAAGCACACAAACACACACACACAAUUAUACCUGGCCCUUCAAGAUCUAUAUAUGCACAAAAGUGGUAAUCUAAAAAUAGAAAGAAAUAAAACGAAUAAGAGGUUAAAAUUCAGGUUUGAACUGGUUAAAAUGUAAUCCUUUAAAAGGUUAUUGUAUUGUAUUUAGUUUUAUGUUCGUAGUACUUUAUAAGCAUGAAUCUUCAGAAUAGCAAAAAUUAAUACUAAGAAUUAAAUUGUUGAAGAUAGACAACCAGCUUCAUAACAGCAAAUCAGACACUUUAUAAGCUUUUUUUUUUUUUCUGUC